rnacentral:lncRNA from 1 species
UAUAUAUGAACUGGUUAGGACUAUUAAGGGUAGAGUGCGGAUAGGACAUGUAAUAUUAAAGCUACCGUCACUUAAGAUGUUUAGUAAUGUUAACCUCAGACACUUUCACUCCCUCACGUAUACAAAUGCAAUAGUUUACAUAUAUAUGAACUGGUUAGGACUAUUAAGGGUAGAGUGCGGAUAGGACAUGUAAUAUUAAAGCUACCGUCACUUAACAUGUUUAGUAAUGUUAACCUCAGACACUUUCACUCCCUCACGUAUACAAAUGCAAUAGUUUACAUAUAUAUGAACUGGUUAGGACUAUUAAGGGUAGAGUGCGGAUAGGACAUGUAAUAUUAAAGCUACACGUCACUUAACAUGUUUAGUAAUGUUAACCUCAGACACUUUCACUCCCUCACGUAUACAAAUGCAAUAGUUUACAUAUAUAUGAACUGGUUAGGACUAUUAAGGGUAGAGUGCGGAUAGGACAUGUAAUAUUAAAGCUACACGUCACUUAACAUGUUUAGUAAUGUUAACCUCAGACACUUUCACUCCCUCACGUAUAGUAAUGAAAUAAUUGGAAAAACUUAAUUUGAAAAUAAUUUUAAUACACCUAAAACGCCUUCAUUGUUGUUUUUUUCGUUAUUUACUUGUUUUACUUCGUUAAAAAUUAAAUGGGUAUACACUUUACAAAAGGAAGUCAAGAACGAUUGGUGUGUAUUAAUCACAUAUUUAAAAUGAGGAAUAUAUAAUUUAAUCAUUACUAACAAACUACUAAAGUUUAUUAUUUGACAAUGGAAGGAUUGUGAAGGAACUAGGAUUUUUCCGGACAUUUGUCAUCGUUCAGCGAUACAAAAAAAACCAUCAAUGAUUUUGUUUGUAUCGCUGAACUACUUAAGAUAUAGUGGCCUUAAGAACGGUAGAGUUAGUCGGAUGUUUUUUAUCUCAGUCAAAUGAUGAUAGAAACUGUAAUUUAUUAAUAUACUUGUUAUUAAUGAAUUCACAGACGUUCUUGGGAUUAGUACAUUUUACAGUACAGUCUCGUUUAUCCGGACCUCAUUUAUCAGGAUCUCCGAGUUAUCUUUAUUAAUUUUACAAAGUGGAGGGAUCCAAUUGUAUAUACAUUUUGUAUGUAAUAUAUUUUUGAUAUACACAUGACAUAUUGAUAGACAAAGUGUCCCAUUCAAUAUGUCAGUAUACGAAUAUAUGUGUGAAAUACAAUAAUUAAUCACCGAAAACGAUUGAAUAGUUUAUUCAGUGGAUUCCUCUUUUUAUUCAACCAUUGGAACCAUUUUAGUGUCGUUCCAAGACCAACUCUCGUAGCUUAUGUAGCACAGUAACUGUUUACAAUAUAUCAUAACACUUGUUGCUGUGCAGUAUAAUGUCUCAUGACACUUGUUGCUGUGCAGUAUAAUGUCUCAUGACACUUGUCGCUGUGCAGUGUAAUGUCUCAUGACACUUGUCGCUGUGCAGUGUAAUGUCUCAUGACACUUGUCGCUGUGCAGUGUAAUAUCUCAUGACCCUUGUCGCUGUGCAGUGUAAUGUCUCAUGACACUUUUCGCUGUGCAGUGUAAUGUCUCAUGACACUUGUCGCUGUGCAGUGUAAUGUCUCAUGACACUUGUCGCUGUGCAGUGUAGUGUCUCGUGACACUUGUCGCUGUGCAGUGUAAUGUCUCGUGACACUUGUCGCUGUGCAGUGUAAUGUCUCAUGGCACUUGUCGCUGUGCAGUGUAAUGUCUCAUGGCACUUGUCGCUGUGCAGUGUAAUGUCUCAUGACACUUUUCGCUGUGCAGUGUAAUGUCUCGUGACACUUGUCGCUGUGCAGUGUAAUGUCUCAUGGCACUUGUCGCUGUGCAGUGUAAUGUCUCAUGACACUUUUCGCUGUGCAGUGUAAUGUCUCAUGACACUUUUCGCUGUGCAGUGUAAUGUCUCAUGACACUUGUCGCUGUGCAGUGUAAUGUCUCAUGACACUUGUCGCUGUGCAGUGUAAUGUCUCGUGACACUUGUCGCUGUACAGUAUAAUGGCUCAUGACACUUGUCGCUGUGCAGUGUAAUGUCUCAUGACACUUGUCGCUGUGAAGUGUAAUGUCUCAUGACACUUGUCGCUGUGCAGUAUAAUGUCUCAUGACACUUGUCGCUGUGCAGUGUAAUGUCUUGUGACACUUGUCGCUGUGCAGUGUAAUGUCUCGUGACACUUGUCGUUGUGCAGUGUAAUGUCUCGUGACACUUGUCGCUGUGCAGUGUAAUGUCUCAUGACACUUGUCGCUGUGCAGUGUAAUGUCUCGUGACACUUGUCGCUGUGCAGUAUAAUGUCUCAUGAUACUUGUCACUGUGCAGUAUAAUGUCUCAUGACACUUGUUGCUGUGCAGUAUAAUGUCUCAUGACACUUGUUGCUGUACAGUAUAAUGGCUCAUGACACUUGUCGCUGUACAGUAUAAUGUCUCAUGAUACUUGUCACUGUACAGUAUAAUGUCUCAUGAUACUUGUCGCUGUGCAGGAGACUUGACAGCGCCUGUGAAACACUCCUGCGACCGCUGUGGACGCUGCUACUCCCUGGUCGGCAAUCUCAGGUCACACCAAGCCAGAGAAUGCGGUAAAGAACCCACCCUCCUGUGCCGCAUCUGCCCGUACCGCACACACCGCAGCAACAAUCUCAAGCGCCAUUACGCGACCAGGCACUGUGUCAUAUAGCGCAUGUAGGGGACUACGUCAGCAGUGACUCAGCAGCCCCUAGUAAGUACAGCUGCAGUGGAUGCGGCCGCGACUACUCGCUGCUGGCCAGUCUGAAGCAGCACCAGGCCCGGGAGUGUGGGAAGGAACCUCCCCUCAGUUGUCACAUGUGCACCUAUCGCACUCACCGCAGCAGCAAUCUCAAGCGGACACUACGCCGCUAGACACAGCAUUGUCUAGGUAUAGACAGUUCAAAGUUGUCCUCUCUGAAUGGCCAUUGCCAUUACUCAGAACAGAUUGUGUUGUCACUUUUUGGAACAGAAAAAAUCUCCAAAAUCGCAUUUUGUUGGAUGCCCGCAUCACCUGGAAAAUUAUAUAUUUAAUUUAAUAUAGACUUUGUGGAAUUGA